UUUGACAGCUUUAAAUGCUCAUUUGGUUUCAAUUUGUAUAAAGUUUUUCUUCAAAAAAACAAAAACCUUAAUUAUACUUGCAAAUACAAACCAAAUUAGUUACUAGAGGUAUAUUUAAACUGAAAGACAUUAUAUCGAGACAUAAAUUUUAGCUCUUUCCAACCAAUACGUGACAAAAUUUGAAAAGAGAGAACUAUGUAGUGUAUAUAAAGAAUCAACGAAAAUUUUUGAUAAAAGAAAACUAUUAUCUGUACCUCUUGAACUGAAAACCAUGAAAUUGAUACCAUCCUCGCGUUUGCUGGCUUGAAAUGAAGAGUCGUGUGUCUCGGGUUUGAGGAAGA